GCGGGCAGAGCACUGCGAAGUCCUUGCCGGCUCCAGGACCCGCCGGGUCCUCUAACGAAGUCCCGGCUUCAUGGCCGGCACAGAGAGGUAGCGUUGAGGUGUGGAGUCUUGAAGACGCUGCCCAGACUGAUGCCACCUCUGUGUCCCCAGGAUGCGUGGCGACAGCAGGAGAGGCCCCUCCCUGACCCCCAACCGCCCCCAACGCAGAAGCUCAAGGAGGCUGCGGCCUACUUGGUGAGAGGCCCAGAGGCUGCUGCAGGCCCCCAGAGAGGAGAGCAAGGUCGCAGCCAUGGACUUAGAAAUCAACCACUGCAAUAUAAAGGAAUGAAUUAAUGGUAUUUGCAGCAA